UGGUGGAGUGAUUUGUCUGGUUAAUUCCGAUAACGAACGAGACCUUAACCUGCUAAAUAGUUACGUUUACCUUUGUGUAGACGGUCAACUUCUUAGAGGGACUGCUGAUGUUUAAUCAGUGGAAGUUUGAGGCAAUAACA
rnacentral:rRNA from 1 species